GAAAUGCGAUAAGUAAUGUGAAUUGCAGAAUUCAGUGAAUCAUCGAAUCUUUGAACGCACCUUGCGCUCCUUGGUAUUCCUCGGAGCAUGCCUGUUUGAGUAUCAUGAAAUUCUCAAAGUAAAUAUUUUGUUAACUCAAUUGGUUUACUUUGGAUUUGGAGGCUCUUGCAGAUUUAUUUCUGCUCCUCUUAAAUGCAUUAGCUGGAUCUCAGUAUAUGCUCGGUUCCACUCGGCGUGAUAAGUAUCACUCGCUGAGGACACUGUAAAAAGGUGGCCGGGAAAUACAGAUGAACCGCUCCUAAUAGUCUAUUUAAUUAGACAAAAAAAAAAUUAAGAUCUGAUCUCAAAUCAGGUAGGACUACCCGCUGAACUUAAGC
rnacentral:misc_RNA from 1 species